AGAGAGGCGUCUACGCAGGUCCGGAAGUCGGCAGCCUGCCGGGAAGGGGGCGGCCCCGCCUCCGGCUCUCGGCCUGCCGGGCAGGUUGGCUGUCCUGGCCUGACCCUGGGAGACUCCGCUGGGGCCGCCUGUUAUGGUGCUAGCUGCCGUCCCGGUGCGUACUUUCCCAAGGUGAAUUUGACCUUCUUUGCGACAGCUAGGCCCUGACUAAGGUCGACCCACCAAACAUUGGAUCGUCCCCAGGCGAAAGAGAGCUUGUCCCCCUCAGCCUGUCGCGGAGGAGCGGAGCCAAUCGAGGGUCUGGUGUCCCCGUCGCCUCUCCAGGGGCAACCUGCGGACUAGGCCAAGGUCUGUAACAGGAUAACGUACCAGCGCCUGGCCCAGGCGUUCCUGCCGCCACCUCCCCGCAUAUCCGGACCGCCGGGACUGCACGCAGCUGGCAAGCGUCCCCCUGUUAACUCUGCAAGGGUGGGGCGGCACCAUUUCUCAGACCAGAAUCUCGGUCUGUCGCCCAGGGUGGAGUGCAAUGGCGCGAUCUCGGCUCACUGCAACGUCCGACUCCCGGGUUCCAGCGAUUCUCCUACCUCAGCCUACCGAAUAGCUGGGAUUACAGGCGCCCGCCAUCACGCCCAGCUAGCUUUCGUAUUUUUAGUAGAGACGGGGUUUUGCCACGCUGGCCAGGCUGGUCAACUCCUGACCUCACGUGAUCCGCGCACCACAGCCUCCCAAAGUGCUGGGAUUACAAGCGUGAGCCACCGCGCCUGGCCGACUAAGAACAAUUCUAAAGACAUACUGAAAGACUAAGAAAUCUCACAGCACAGGACAACCGAAGCACUUGAAGAAAUUUCAAAUAUUCUUAAAAGUAUGAAUUCCAAUCACAGAAAAUGUAUUUCAUUUGUCAAAAUUCUUAAUUUCUCAAGUUCAAAAAUGCCUUGGCACAUUUCCAUGGCUCCUCGCUAGAAGAAUUUAACUUGGCUCUACUUCCAG